UACGAAGGGGGCUAGCGUUGUUCGGAAUUACUGGGCGUAAAGCGCACGUAGGCGGAUAUUUAAGUCAGGGGUGAAAUCCCGCAGCUCAACUGCGGAACUGCCUUUGAUACUGGGUAUCUUGAGUAUGGAAGAGGUAAGUGGAAUUCCGAGUGUAGAGGUGAAAUUCGUAGAUAUUCGGAGGAACACCAGUGGCGAAGGCGGCUUACUGGGCAGUUACUGACGCUGAGGUGCGAAAGCGUGGGGAGCAAACAGG
rnacentral:rRNA from 1 species